UAGGGAAUCUUCGGCAAUGGGGGGAACCCUGACCGAGCAACGCCGCGUGAGUGAAGAAGGUUUUCGGAUCGUAAAGCUCUGUUGUUAAGGAAGAACGAGUGUGAGAAUGGAAAGUUCAUGCUGUGACGGUACUUAACCAGAAAGGGACGGCUAACUACGUGCCAGCAGCCGCGGUAAUACGUAGGUCCCGAGCGUUGUCCGGAUUUAUUGGGCGUAAAGCGAGCGCAGGUGGUUUAGAAAGUCUGAUGUGAAAGCCCACGGCUCAACCGUGGAGGGUCAUUGGAAACUAAUAAACUUGAGUGCAGGAGAGAAAAGUGGAAUUCCUAGUGUAGCGGUGAAAUGCGUAGAGAUUAGGAGGAACACCGGUGGCGAAAGCGGCUUUUUGGCCUGCAACUGACACUGAGGCGCGAAAGCGUGGGGAGCAAACAGG
rnacentral:rRNA from 1 species